rfam:Desulfotomaculum australicum DSM 11792 genome assembly, contig: EJ60DRAFT_scaffold00001.1
GGGGGCGAAAGGUUUCGACGGGGGAAGCGGUGGCAGGAGAAGCGAGCCGGGGUUCCACCAGCCCGUAAAACGGUGGAAAAACAAUAACUGCCAACGAAGAAUACGCUCUGGCUGCUUAAUUUAGCGGCCACAUCCUGCCCGGGUCCGGCCCGUGACGCGGGACAGGGUGUCGACUUAACGGGCUUGCUGCCGGGACGGUUCCCGGAGGCCCGGCGGGACACCAAAACGGGAUAGCCCCUGCGGAGGCUGGCUGUGGCCGCCAAAGGGGCGAAAGCCAAAACACAGCCUGCGCUCGGAGAAACUCCUGUGGCUGUUCUUCCGGACGGUGGGUUCGAAUCCCCCCGCCUCCACCA